UACGUAGGGCGCAAGCGUUGUCCGGAAUUAUUGGGCGUAAAGAGCUCGUAGGCGGUUUGUCGCGUCUGCUGUGAAAACCCGAGGCUCAACCUCGGGCCUGCAGUGGGUACGGGCAGACUAGAGUGUGGUAGGGGAGACUGGAAUUCCUGGUGUAGCGGUGGAAUGCGCAGAUAUCAGGAGGAACACCAAUGGCGAAGGCAGGUCUCUGGGCCACAACUGACGCUGAGGAGCGAAAGCGUGGGGAGCGAACAGGAUUAGAUACCCUGGUAGUCCACGCCGUAAACGGUGGGCACUAGAUGUGGGGCUCUUUCCAUGAGUUCCGCGUCGCAGCUAACGCAUUAAGUGCCCCGCCUGGGGAGUACGGCCGCAAGGCUAAA
rnacentral:rRNA from 1 species